UACGUAGGCAGCGAGCGUUGUUCGGAUUUACUGGGCGUAAAGCGUGCGUAGGCGGUGCUCUAAGUCUGUUGUGAAAUCUCCCGGCUUAACCGGGAGGGUGCGGCGGAAACUGGGGUGCUGGAGUGCGGGAGAGGUAAGCGGAAUUCCCGGUGUAGCGGUGAAAUGCGUAAAUAUCGGGAGGAACACCUGCGGUGUAGACGGCUUACUGGACCGUAACUGACGCUGAGGCACGAAAGCGUGGGGAGCAAACAGG
rnacentral:rRNA from 1 species